rnacentral:rRNA from 1 species
UGGGGAAUUUUGGACAAUGGGGGCAACCCUGAUCCAGCCAUGCCGCGUGCGGGAAGAAGGCCUUCGGGUUGUAAACCGCUUUUAGUCGGGAAGAAAAGGCGCGGGCGAAUAACCUGCGUUUUUGACGGUACCGGCGGAAUAAGCACCGGCUAACUACGUGCCAGCAGCCGCGGUAAUACGUAGGGUGCGAGCGUUAAUCGGAAUUACUGGGCGUAAAGCGUGCGCAGGCGGUUCGCUGUGUCCGAUGUGAAAGCCCCGGGCUUAACCUGGGAAUGGCAUUGGAAACUGGCGGGCUUGAGUGUGGCAGAGGGGGGUGGAAUUCCGCGUGUAGCAGUGAAAUGCGUAGAGAUGCGGAGGAACACCGAUGGCGAAGGCAGCCCCCUGGGCUAACACUGACGCUCAGGCACGAAAGCGUGGGGAGCAAACAG